AAUGGUGAAAAGUACCCCGGGAGGGGAGUGAAAUAGUACCUGAAACCGUGUGCUUACAAGCCGUUGGAGCCUUUUGGGGUGACAGCGUGCCUUUUGAAGAAUGAGCCUGCGAGUUAGUGUUAUGUCGCGAGGUUAACCCGUGUGGGGUAUCCGUAGCGAAAGCGAGUCUGAAUAGGGCGUUUGAGUGGCAUGACCUAGACCCGAAGCGGAGUGAUCUAUCCAUGGCCAGGUUGAAGCGACGGUAAGACGUCGUGGAGGACCGAACCCACUUCAGUUGAAAAUGGAGGGGAUGAGCUGUGGAUAGGGGUGAAAGGCCAAUCAAACUCUGUGAUAGCUGGUUCUCCCCGAAAUGCAUUUAGGUGCAGCGUUACGUGUUUCUUGCCGGAGGUAGAGCUACUGGAUGGCCGAUGGGCCUUCACGGGUUACUGACGUCAGCUAAACUCCGAAUGCCGGUAAGUGAGAGCGUAGCAGUGAGACAGUGGGGGAUAAGCUUCAUUGUCGAGAGGGAAACAGCCCAGACCACCAACUAAGGCCCCUAAGCGUGUGCUAAGUGGGAAAGGAUGUGGAGUUGCUUAGACAACCAGGAGGUUGGCUUAGAAGCAGCCAUCCUUGAAAGAGUGCGUAACAGCUCACUGGUCAAGUGAUUCUGCGCCGAUAAUGUAGCGGGGCUCAAGUACACCGCCGAAGUUGUGGCAAUGACCCUUUGGGGUUGUUGGGUAGGGGAGCGUCGUGUAGCCGGUGAAGCUGCGGUGUAAACCAGUGGUGGAGGCUAUGCGAGUGAGAAUGCAGGCAUGAGUAGCGAAAGAUGAGUGAGAAACUCAUCCGCCGGAUGAUCAAGGGUUCCAGGGUCAAGUUAAUCUGCCCUGGGUUAGUCGGGGCCUAAGGCGAGGCCGACAGGCGUAGUCGAUGGAUAACGGGUUGAUAUUCCCGUACCGGUGAAAAACCGCCCAUACUGAUAUUGUGAUGCUAACCAUGCGAAGCAUGAUGUGCAGGCUUUUGUUUGUGUGUUGUGUGGGUUGUGGGACCCGAUCUUUGGAGGUAAACGUGUUAACAGGUGUGACGCAGGAAGGUAGCCAAGCCACGCGAUGGUUGUCGUGGUCUAAGCGUGUAGGGUUGUCGGUUGUUAAAUGCGCCGGCUGUGUGCCUGAGACGUGAUGGGACCCCGUUUUUGGGGGAUUUGGUGAUCCUAUGCUGCCGAGAAAAGCAUCGGCGUGAGGUUUUAGCCGCCCGUACCCUAAACCGACACAGGUGAUCAGGUAGAGAAUACUAAGGCGAUCGAGAGAAUCAUGGUUAAGGAACUCGGCAAAAUGCCCCCGUAACUUCGGGAGAAGGGGGACCUUGAGCGUGAUGGGCACUUGCUGCCUGGAGCGUGUAUGGGUCGCAGAGACCAGGGGGAAGCGACUGUUUAUCAAAAACACAGGUCCGUGCGAAGUCGUAAGACGAUGUAUACGGACUGACUCCUGCCCGGUGCUGGAAGGUUAAGAGGAUUGGUUAGCUCUUUUGGGCGAAGCUGAGAAUUUAAGCCCCAGUAAACGGCGGUGGUAACUAUAACCAUCCUAAGGUAGCGAAAUUCCUUGUCGGGUAAGUUCCGACCUGCACGAAUGGAGUAACGACUUCCCUACUGUCUCAACCAUGAACUCGGCGAAAUUGCAGUACGAGUAAAGAUGCUCGUUUCGCGCAGCAGGACGGAAAGACCCCGUGACCUUUACUAUAGUUUGGUAUUGGUGUUUGGUUUGGCUUGUGUAGGAUAGGUGGGAGACUGUGAAGCAUGGACGCUAGUUUGUGUGGAGUCGUUGUUGAAAUACCACUCUGGUCAAUCUGGAUGUCUAACUUCGGGCCAUGAUCUGGUUCAGGGACAGUGCCUGAUGGGUAGUUUAACUGGGGCGGUUGCCUCCUAAAGUGUAACGGAGGCGCCCAAAGGUUCCCUCAGCCUGGUUGGCAAUCAGGUGUUGAGUGUAAGUGCACAAGGGAGCUUGACUGUGAGACUGGCAGGUCGAGCAGGGACGAAAGUCGGGACUAGUGAUCCGGCGGUACGUUGUGGAACGGCCGUCGCUCAACGGAUAAAAGGUACCUCGGGGAUAACAGGCUGAUCUUGCCCAAGAGUCCAUAUCGACGGCAUGGUUUGGCACCUCGAUGUCGGCUCGUCGCAUCCUGGGGCUGGAGUCGGUCCCAAGGGUUGGGCUGUUCGCCCAUUAAAGCGGUACGCGAGCUGGGUUCAGAACGUCGUGAGACAGUUCGGUCCCUAUCCGCUGCGCGCGUUGGAAAUUUGAGAAAGGCUGUCCUUAGUACGAGAGGACCGGGACGGACGAACCUCUGGUAUGUCAGUUGUACCGCCAGGUGCAUGGCUGAUUGGCUACGUUCGGGAGGGAUAACCGCUGAAAGCAUCUAAGCGGGAAGCCUGUUUCGAGAUGAGAUUUCCUGGCACCUUUGG
rnacentral:rRNA from 1 species